CCCUACGGGGUGCACCAGGCCGCGCAGGCUGAUUUCACCUGACAUGGCCAGAUCGGAACGAACCAGACGGCGGGAGAUCAAGGAUGCCAGGGCAAUGACAAUCGCGAUUCCCGCGCUGGGCCCGUCCUUUGGGGUGGCCCCGGCCGGCACGUGGAUGUGGAUGUCAUAUUUUUCGUAAUCAGUGAAUUCGAUGCCCAGGUUCCGGGACUGGCUGCGCAGGUAGCUCAACGCGGUUUGGGCGCUUUCCUUCAUCACGUCACCCAAAGAUC
rnacentral:rRNA from 1 species